UACGGGGGGAGCAAGCGUUGUUCGGAUUUACUGGGCGUAAAGGGCGCGUAGGCGGCCACCGCAAGUCGGUUGUGAAAUCUCCGGGCUUAACCCGGAAAGGUCAACCGAUACUGCGGGGCUAGAGUGCAGAAGGGGCAACUGGAAUUCUCGGUGUAGCGGUGAAAUGCGUAGAUAUCGUAAGGAAGACCAGUGGCGAAGGCGGGUCUCUGGACAGUUCCUGACGCUGAGAAGCGAAAGCGUGGGGAGCAAACAGG
rnacentral:rRNA from 1 species